rnacentral:sRNA from 1 species
GACCCCGAGAUGGUGCGCAUCGCGCGGCC